rnacentral:lncRNA from 1 species
AACUAAGGCUUUGCUCACCCAGCAUGUGAAGACUGUUUUGGCUGAACAGACAGAAGAAACCAAUAAGAAGGUUCAACAGCUGAGAGGGCGACUCAGCAAAGCACUGUAGAGUGCUUAGGGCAUGUUGGAGCACAAAAGACAAUAUGGCCAUCCAAUGCAGCUGAAGAAGUCUCCAGGUGUAAAAAUUUUUUGUGCCAAUGGACCCAGGCUUCUAAUGCCGAGAGAGUGGGACUAUUUCUGUGCAGCGACUUUUCCACUUAAAUCUACUUCAUGCACAUGUGUUUUUGUGCACACUCAUCUACAUCACAGAUGAAAGCGCACAAAGACAAUUGUCAUCCUCUGUUACCAAGAGACUACUACUACAACAACUUAUUUAAUCAUCCAUUAACCUAUACACAUUUUGGUUAUUUCUAAUUCUUUGGCACACAAAAAUGUUCCUAUGGACAGUUUGUUGAACAAGAAUUUUUUUUCUAUCUUUUAUCUCCCAUGGAUAUAUACCUAGAAAUGAAGAAAUAAUAUUACUUAAUAUAUAUGGACCAAAUGGUAUAGAAUCCACAGAUAACCUCUUGUACUUAAUCCCCAACUGACAACACCUAGGAAUGUUAUAGCCAAAUUCAAGAACUAUCAGACCAAAGAAAAGAUAUUACAAGCUGCCAAGAAGAAGUCAUUCAGAUACCAACGAACCACAGUGAGGAUAACUCAGAAUCUGGCUGCAUCCACACUGAAAAAAAAGAAGGCAUGGAAUAUGAUAUUCUGGAAAGAAAGGGAACUAGGUCUACAACCAAGAAUCAACUACCCAGCAAAACUGACUAUAUUCUUACAGGGGAAAGUAUGGUCAUUCAACAAAAUAGAAGAAUUUCAAGAAUUCGUAAAGAAAAUACCAGACCUGAACAGAAAAUUUGAUGUCCAAGCACAGAACUUAAGAGAACCAUCAAAAGGAGAGGUGGCUCUGGCUGUUGACUUCCUGUGAGCUGCCUGGGCACCAGUUCUAUUCUGGAACUCGAGCCCAGAGGAUCUCCCUCAGACAGCUUCCUUGAGAGGGUUAUGUGGUAAGUGAUAAGACUGACUCCAUUUCCCUUGGCUCUAAGGGGAG